UCGUUGUCGAGUGGUAAAGACUCUUAACUUUCACCUUGGAAUCCCGGGUUCGAUCUCCGGUGGAGGAG